rnacentral:rRNA from 1 species
AAAUUGAAGAGUUUGAUCAUGGCUCAGAUUGAACGCUGGCGGCAGGCCUAACACAUGCAAGUCGAGCGGAAACGACACUAACAAUCCUUCGGGUGCGUUAAUGGGCGUCGAGCGGCGGACGGGUGAGUAAUGCCUAGGAAAUUGCCUUGAUGUGGGGGAUAACCAUUGGAAACGAUGGCUAAUACCGCAUAAUGCCUACGGGCCAAAGAGGGGGACCUUCGGGCCUCUCGCGUCAAGAUAUGCCUAGGUGGGAUUAGCUAGUUGGUGAGGUAAUGGCUCACCAAGGCGACGAUCCCUAGCUGGUCUGAGAGGAUGAUCAGCCACACUGGAACUGAGACACGGUCCAGACU